CCCCUCCACCUCUCUGUGGCGUUUAAUGACCAGCGCGCUAACAUUAAGACGACCGGGGGUCCUGACGCUCGUGCUGGACUGUCCGCUGUGUCAUUGGGAUUUGGAUGCGAAGCCUACACGCUGUCUGGGAUCCUUUUCCUGGAUUAUGGGGUGGGGGUUGCUAGGGGGAGGGCCGCUGAAGACCCCUCAUGGGUCGUUGGCAAGCAGUGCCAGGGCCUCCCUCCCAGGAAGGGGGCUUGGGCUGCUGUCUGGUCCAGAACUUACCACGCCUGGGCUGCCCAGCGCCCUGCUGCCCAGGGGCCCACCCCUCGUGGUGACAGCCUCUACCUACAGACUGUGCUCUCCGUGGGACGUGCCCAGGGCAGGGAAGUGCUGGGGACAAAGAGGAUGCUAAGAGUAUGUAAAUAAACAUAUUUGCAUUUCUUUUCCAAGAGCUGAGUACUUGCUUAAACCGCCCGGGUUUCCUUUCUCGUGCCUGCUGACCUGAGCAGGAACAGAAAACCUCUGCAUUGAAGCAACAGAUAAUCUUAACUUGACUGCCAUUUAAAUUCACCUCCCCCCUCGGAUCUUCUAAAAUCUUAGGCCUUUUUAUCGCUUUACAGUAAAACACAUCAGUGGAUACUGUAGACCUCCGAGUAGUAGUCCCCCACCUCAGCCUAAGGAGGAGGCACGGCUGUGUCUAGAAGAACUUGAGACCACUGUUUGAAUGCCCAGCAAGCACAUUAG